rnacentral:rRNA from 1 species
UACGGAGGGUGCAAGCGUUGUUCGGAAUUAUUGGGCGUAAAGGGCGCGUAGGCGGUAAUGCUAGUCAGAUGUGAAAUACUCCGGCUCAACCGGGGAACUGCAUCUGAAACUGCAUAACUAGAGUACAGAAGAGGGAAACGGAAUUCCCGGUGUAGAGGUGAAAUUCGUAGAUAUCGGGAGGAACACCAGUGGCGAAGGCGGUUUCCUGGUCUGAUACUGACGCUGAGGCGCGAAAGUGUGGGGAGCAAACAGGAUUAGAUACCCCUGUAGUCCCUGA